UACGUAGGGACCAAGCGUUGUUCGGAUUUACUGGGCGUAAAGGGCGCGUAGGCGGCAAUUCAAGUCAUCUGUGAAAUCUCCGGGCUUAACUCGGAACGGUCAGGUGAUACUGCUUUGCUAGAGUGCAGAAGGGGCAAUCGGGAAUUCUUGGUGUAGCGGUGAAAUGCGUAGAUAUCAAGAGGAACACCUGAGGUGAAGACGGGUUGCUGGGCUGACACGUGACGCUGAGAGCGAAAGCGUGGGGAGCGAACAGG
rnacentral:rRNA from 1 species